rnacentral:lncRNA from 1 species
AGAGGUUAGAAGAAUUACAGAUUUUAGGUCUAUGAAGGAUUAUAUUAUAGGUCGGUUUGGGAAAUCCAAUACUUGCAUUCAACCUAUUUUAUCUUUUGAUCAUGGUCAGGUUCAGAUCAUAUCUUCAUGAUGUUUGACAAUUAACUUGACCCGAAAUGUGCCCUCUCUGCGGCCUGAGGUUCUUAGUUCUAUUCAGGAUGGUGGCACUCUCACCGCAUUUCUCACUGUAAAAGGAUCCAAAAUAUGAAUAGGCUUCAAUCUUUAAGACUUGGUCCCGAUCCCUCUUGUGGAUACGGAUUGGUCUGAUAAUUUUGCAGCCAUAAUCUCCGCAUCUAAUUAUUUUCUUUUGAUGAUGCAUUCCUCAUCGAGUGCAUGUGUCAAGUUUAUUUUUUUUCUUCUCGAAAAGAAGAAAAACAAAUACAUGGGUAAAGAAGUAAAGGAUGUUUUGGUUUCAAUGUGUUUGCAUGGAUUUUGUCAUCAUUUAGAGUGUAAGUUGCCAAGACAGAGAGGCUGUAUUGUUUAUUUUGUUUGGGGGAGGGGGAGCAAAACUAGGCAGGCUCCUCAACUG